UACGUAGGGGGCAAGCGUUGUCCGGAAUCAUUGGGCGUAAAGAGCGUGUAGGCGGCCCGGUAAGUCCGCUGUGAAAGUCCAGGGCUCAACCCUGGAAUGCCGGUGGAAACUGUCGGGCUAGAGUCCGGAAGAGGCGAGUGGAAUUCCUGGUGUAGCGGUGAAAUGCGCAGAUAUCAGGAGGAACACCAAUGGCGAAGGCAGCUCGCUGGGACGGUACUGACGCUGAGACGACGAAGCGUGGGGAGCAAACAGG
rnacentral:rRNA from 1 species